AUUAAAACAUUUUUUCUAGAUUCGGUCGCAUGAAGAUGAUGUAAAUAGUGUUGCAUUUGCAGAUAGUACAUCUCAGAUUCUUUUUAGUGGAGGAGAUGAUGGUUUAUGCAAAGUUUGGGAUAGGAGAACUUUGAAUGAAUCACAUCCAAAGCCUGUUGGUAUACUUGCUGGUCAUUUGGAUGGAAUUACAUAUGUAGAUUCAAAGGGUGAUGGUCGUUAUCUUAUUACUAAUAGUAAAGAUCAAACCAUCAAAUUAUGGGAUAUGAGAGCUUUUUCACCUGCUCUUGGAGCUGAGG